ACCUUGAGGCAGAAGAGUGCUGUCCCUAGGAGUUUUCCUCUCCGAUGCCCCUCCGAGUGAUGUGAGCCCCAAACACAGCUUCAGCUGUUUGCUUUGCUCUGCCCACAGCUAACUCCCCACAAACAGGAUCCAUGCUCCUUGGUGGGUACCUAGCCCUUGGUCACAAUCAUCAGUAUCAUUGCACUUUUGAUAAAUCAGACCUGUAAUCUUGGUUUCCUACGGUUAGAUCCUAAUGCUCUGGUUUUGUCUCAAUAUUUUUAUUCCUGCCUGCCCUGCAUUUUUCAGACAAGAUCUCAUGUCUCUUCACACUCCUGUACUAUUUUCCUGGUCUCAGCCAUGCUGUUCCUGUAUGACUGAGUAGCCUGCUCUCCCUCCCUGGCUUCUUUUCAGAUUAUGCUCAUUUAUUAGUCAAUUGUUCAAAUCUCCUUCCCUUCCUGCUCGUUAUUCUCUUAUUUCUUCUUUAGGUUAUCUUACAGCCUCGCCUCUUCUUGAGUAGGAAACCCACUCAGACUCCUAUAACUUUGUUCAGCCCUACUUUGUGGGAAGAUAGUUUGUAAGUGUAGUGCAGAAGGCAAUUUUCCUCCAAUUAUAACAGCUGUACUGAUUACCAAGAAGUGGAAACAGCCUUGCCUGCCCAAUGAGGAUGGGUGUUAUAAAAGAGUGGGCUAGCUAAUACAGAAUUACAGUUGUGGUUGAAGAUGGAGUUGGAGCUUGAGAUCCAGAGUUUGCUGCAAUUAGGGAUGGAGCCUGCUGGCUGUGCUGUGAGAAGGAAGGGACAUGUGGUUGUGCAAGAGACAGAUAAGAUUGCCACUGAACAAGAAUUUCAAAGUUGAGAAAAAUUUGGAAAAGUUGGGAAACUGUGACUACAGUAGGAUGUUCAAAUGCAACACCAGGAUGUCCUCCAGUCUCCUCAAAAACUCAUUCCAGAGCACAGUCUCAGAGAAAACUUGCACAGGUAGGAUGCUCAAAUGCAACACCAGGAUGUCCUCCAGUCUCCUCAAAAACUCAUUCCAGAGCACAGUCUCAGAGAAAACUUGCUGGCAUGUGGUGUCACACCAACAUUGUAAAACUAUAUGGGAAUUGCUUAUUAAAUGAAUUAAAAGUGCUCCAUUUCAAUGGAUGCUUUCCCCACUAAUAUAGUACCCAAAGAACAAGAUGGAAAAAAUGCGAUUUGAAGAGAGAUGUAAGAUUAUAUUUACUCAAAAGUCAAAUGUGACAUGGAUGAGAGACCACACCUGAGAACAUAAUAAUGGCCUAGCAGGACUGGAAGAGAAGCUUGAGAAAACUUCUCACCAACCACAUUUUUCUCCCUUGAGAAAAGCUUCUCCCCAACCACAUUUCUGAGGCAGACCAUCUCCCUGAAAUAU
rnacentral:lncRNA from 1 species